GGAGGUAUAGCUCAGUGGUAGAGCGUGUGCUUAGCAUGCUUGAGGUCCUGGGUUCUAUCCCCAGCACCUCCA
rnacentral:tRNA from 1 species